UUUCCGUAGGUGAACCUGCGGAAGGAUCAUUAAAGAGAAUAUGCCCUUCGGGGUAGAUCUCCCACCCUUUGUUUAUAUUACCUUUGUUGCUUUGGCAGGCCCGUCUUCGGACCACCGGCUUCGGCAGGUCAGUGCUUGCCAGAGGACCCAAAACUCUUAUUAUUAAUGUCGUCUGAGUACUAUAUGAUAGUUAAAACUUUCAACAACGGAUCUCUUGGUUCUG
rnacentral:misc_RNA from 1 species